AGCGUAGGCGGAUAGUUUAGUCAGAGGUGAAAGCCCAGGGCUCAACCUUGGGAUUGCCUUUGAUACUGGGUAUCUUGAGUAUGGAAGAGGUAAGUGGAAUUCCGAGUGUAGAGGUGAAAUUCGUAGAUAUUCGGAGGAACACCAGUGGCGAAGGCGGCUUACUGGUCCAUUACUGACGCUGAGGUGCGAAAGCGUGGGGAGCAAACA
rnacentral:rRNA from 1 species